rnacentral:rRNA from 1 species
UACGAAGGGGGCUAGCGUUGCUCGGAAUCACUGGGCGUAAAGGGCGCGUAGGCGGAUCUUUAAGUCGGGGGUGAAAGCCCGAGGCUCAACCUCGGAACUGCCUUCGAUACUGCGGGUCUCGAGUCCGGGAGAGGUGAGUGGAAUUCCUAGUGUAGAGGUGAAAUUCGUAGAUAUUAGGAAGAACACCAGUGGCGAAGGCGGCUCACUGGCCCGGUACUGACGCUGAGGCGCGAAAGCGUGGGGAGCAAACAGG